GAUCUGCAUUGCAGCUCUGCUCCUCCGCAAUCUUUUUUCCCCCAGUUUAACGCUUUGCUUAAAACGGAUCACUUUGCACCAGUGUUUCUGCGUUUGAACAUCCCUGAGGUGUGCAUGUUUUUAUUCUAAUCAUGUUUCAAAAAGUUUCUUUAAAGUUUUCCUACUAUAGCAAACUCCCCGUGGACCCGUGCGUCUCCGCCUCCGCGGCGCAGCAAGUGUCGACGCAUCUCAAGGCCAAGGUUUUAUUCAGCUCCACGAGAUCCCCGUCCAUCAGGAGGAAGGAUUUGGUCCUGCUGGUGCUGACAGAGCUGGAAGGAGGACUGACCUUUUUACCAAAGCUUCUGACCGGGUUUUAUCUCUGACUCAAAGAGAUAAGUCAGUUAAAUCGGAGGCGCCAGGCGGCUCUGGAUGGUCGGAUGGAGAGAAGAGAGAGAAGAGAGAGAAGAGAGGAGAAGAGAGAGAAGAGAGGAGAUAAUCUCAGCCCGUCUGGGCAUUUCCUAUGUGCUCGCGUGUGCGUGCGUACGGGCUUGCGUUAAGAGUUUGUAAAGAUUUUCACUAAGUUAGACCUACAGAUGUAGCUGGAUUGGUCUGUGAGCCGCUUUACACGUGUCUGGAUUUCUGGGCUAUAGUGAGAUGUGGUUCAACUGAAAUAAAACUG